GGGCACAUAAACAUGACUACAGUCAGCAAUCGAUACGGUAACGAGUCUAGUAUACACAUGGGGUAGCCCCCACGGCUGGAGAGCCAGAUGAUGUACAUGGGGUAGCCCCCACGGCCGAAAUGCCUGAUAACUACAUGGGGUAGCCCCCACGGCCGGAGUGCCGGAGUAACUGGGAACGAACUGGUCACGUUUUUUUUAAACUAUGGGGUAACCCCCACGGCAGGAUGCCAGAUAAUGUAAACUGUUUUCGAAACAACUAAAACGAACGCCCACCCGUGAACUCACUCAACUAGUUGUUGACUCGUUACUACAUGCUUUGCAGGACCAUAGGUUCUCAGUGGGAGCUUGCAUGGAGGAGGAUCGUUAUAAUGUAAACUGUUUUCGAAACAACUAAAACGAACGCCCACCCGUGAACUC
rnacentral:lncRNA from 1 species